GCCGCCUUAGCUCAGUUGGUAGAGCACCGCACUUGUAAUGCGAAGGUCGUUGGUUCGAUUCCGACAGGCGGCUCCA
rnacentral:tRNA from 1 species